AUUGAACGCCGGCGGCAUGCUUUACACAUGCAAGUCGAACGGUAACAGGUUAAGCUGACGAGUGGCGAACGGGUGAGUAAUGCAUCGGAACGUGCCCGAUCGUGGGGGAUAACGCAGCGAAAGCUGCGCUAAUACCGCAUACGAUCUGAGGAUGAAAGCGGGGGACCGUAAGGCCCCGCGCGAUCGGAGCGGCCGAUGUCAGAUUAGGUAGUUGGUGGGGUAAAGGCCCACCAAGCCGACGAUCUGUAGCUGGUCUGAGAGGACGACCAGCCACACUGGGACUGAGACACGGUCCAGACUCCUACGGGAGGCAGCAGUGGGGAAUUUUGGACAAUGGGGGCAACCCUGAUCCAGCAAUGCCGCGUGUGUGAAGAAGGCCUUCGGGUUGUAAAGCACUUUUGUCCGGAAAGAAAUCGCACUGGUUAAUACCUGGUGUGGAUGACGGUACCGGAAGAAUAAGGACCGGCUAACUACGUGCCAGCCGCCGCCGUAA
rnacentral:rRNA from 1 species